rnacentral:rRNA from 1 species
CAGCCGCAAGAUGAGAACUCCAUUGAGGGUCGUCAGAGACGAUGACGUUGAUAGGAUGCAGGUGUAAAGACAGCGAUGUCAAAGCCGAGCAUUACUAAUUGCCCGAACACUUUCUUUAG